UUUUUUUUGUCACACAACUACUUCAUUCAUUCACUUAGUUAGGUGGGGGAAUUAAAUUUUCCACAGCCACCUCUUCUUGUUCAUACAAAGAUAAGGUUUUCUUUGCAAGCAAAUCUGCUUCUCCAUUCAUCCCACGGGGAAUCCACACAAACAAAACAGUAGUAAAAGAAGAGAUUAGAAUCUGGAUAUCCUCUGCUAUUCCAUAAAUUUCCAACAGCGGUUCCUUAUUGUUGAUGGCCGAGAUCAGCUGCAAGGAGUCUGAUUCAAAGAUAACCUCCUUCAUUCUGUUUUUGUAACAGUCCUCCACCGCCUCCCUGAGCGCCAGACCUUCGGCGAUUAAGGCUGACGAGACGAAGCUUACACCUCUCUGCUUCUCUGUCCUCUGUUCUUGUUUCUUCACUAUCCAGGCCAAACCAGCUCUACCGGUUCGCUCCGACCACGAAGCGUCUGAGCGUACUGCCACUUCAAGUUGCUGUCUUGGCACAAGGGGUUGUCUGUGCGGUAUCUUCUCCACCUUAUCUUGUGCGUCCAUCCAUUCUUUAGCUGCAACUAUUGCCUGUGUAAGUACAUCAGCCGGAUUCCCAGCAAAAUUAUCAAAGACAUACUUAUUUCUCGCUUUCCAUAGCGACCAUAAAAUCCAAGGAACUAGAGGUGUGGUUGUGAUUCCUGUAGGUGGGAGACAUUGUUGACUUUGAAGAGACGUCCAAUCGGCUCGUAAAUCUGUUAAUCCACUAACACCAGAUCCAUUUACGAAAGGAGCAAGACUCCAUACCUCUCGCGCAAAUGGACAGUGGAACAAUAGAUGAUUAAUAGAUUCGGAGCCCCCACAUCUCUUACACCGCGGGUCGACGCUUAUAUGGCGUUGAAGUAGCCUCUCUCCCACUGGAAUAAUGCCCUUUAGACACUUCCAAGUGAACAUCUUUAUUUUUGGUGCUAGUUUGAGACUCCACACUGUUUUCUUCCAGUCAAACUCGGCUGUGGCUUCUCCUUCAAGGAUUUCUUCUGUCAAUUCUGCCAUGGCAACAUGAUACCCUGAUUUGACAGAGUACUUGCCAGUCUUGGUCCCUAGCCAUCUUCUUGAAUCCGAGACUCUUUUUGUACUUGGUUGCAGCCUAAGAAUCUGACUCUCAAAGAAAGGUCCCAUGGGGCGAAGCGGAGCUUCAAGGCUCAGCCAUUGUUCCGUCCAGAUAUUGAUCGAGCUCCCAUCACCCACUACCCAACCGUAGUUCUUCAUUAGUAGGUCUCUCCCUUUGAGUAUACUGUUCCAACCAUGGGAGGCUGCUGAAGGCGCAUAACAGGUCAGGAGAUUCCCAUCCGGACAAUAUUUGUUUAAGAGCGUUCUGCCUAGGAGUCCGUCGGGGUUGUCAAUCAAUCUGCA